rnacentral:rRNA from 1 species
GAUGAACGCUGGCGGCGUGCCUAAUACAUGCAAGUCGAGCGAACAGACGAGGAGCUUGCUCCUCUGACGUUAGCGGCGGACGGGUGAGUAACACGUGGAUAACCUACCUAUAAGACUGGGAUAACUUCGGGAAACCGGAGCUAAUACCGGAUAAUAUAUUGAACCGCAUGGUUCAAUAGUGAAAGACGGUUUUGCUGUCACUUAUAGAUGGAUCCGCGCCGCAUUAGCAAGUUGGUAAGGUAACGGCUUACCAAGGCGACGAUGCGUAGCCGACCUGAGAGGGUGAUCGGCCACACUGGAACUGAGACACGGUCCAGACUCCUACGGGAGGCAGCAGUAGGGAAUCUUCCGCAAUGGGCGAAAGCCUGACGGAGCAACGCCGCGUGAGUGAUGAAGGUCUUCGGAUCGUAAAACUCUGUUAUUAGGGAAGAACAAAUGUGUAAGUAACUAUGCACGUCUUGACGGUACCUAAUCAGAAAGCCACGGCUAACUACGUG